CCUACGGGGAGCAGCAGUGAGGAAUAUUAGUCAAUGGACGAGAGUCUGAACCAGCCAAGUAGCGUGAAGGAUGACUGCCCUAUGGGUUGUAAACUUCUUUUAUAUGGGAAUAAAAUGUUCCACGUGUGGGAUUUUGUAUGUACCAUAUGAAUAAGGAUCGGCUAACUCCGUGCCAGCAGCCGCGGUAAUACGGAGGAUCCGAGCGUUAUCCGGAUUUAUUGGGUUUAAAGGGAGCGUAGGUGGAUUGUUAAGUCAGUUGUGAAAGUUUGCGGCUCAACCGUAAAAUUGCAGUUGAAACUGGCAGUCUUGAGUACAGUAGAGGUGGGCGGAAUUCGUGGUGUAGCGGUGAAAUGCUUAGAUAUCACGAAGAACUCCGAUUGCGAAGGCAGUUCACUGGACUGCAACUGACACUGAGGCUCGAAAGUGUGGGUAUCAAACAGGAUUAGAUACCCCAGUAGUC
rnacentral:rRNA from 1 species